rnacentral:piRNA from 1 species
UUUUGACCGGGAUGAUGUGG